rnacentral:rRNA from 1 species
UACGUAGGGUGCAAGCGUUGUCCGGAAUUAUUGGGCGUAAAGAGCUCGUAGGCGGUCUGUCGCGUCUGCUGUGAAAACUCGGGGCUUAACCCCGGGCCUGCAGUGGGUACGGGCAGACUAGAGUGCGGUAGGGGAGACUGGAAUUCCUGGUGUAGCGGUGAAAUGCGCAGAUAUCAGGAGGAACACCGGUGGCGAAGGCGGGGUCUCUGGGACGGUACUGAC